rnacentral:rRNA from 1 species
AGUGAACGCUGGCGGUAGGCCUAACACAUGCAAGUCGAACGGCAGCACAGUAAGAGCUUGCUCUUACGGGUGGCGAGUGGCGGCCGGGUGAGGAAUACAUCGGAAUCUACUUUUUCGUGGGGGAUAACGUAGGGAAACUUACGCUAAUACCGCAUACGACCUACGGGUGAAAGCAGGGGAUCUUCGGACCUUGCGCGAUUGAAUGAGCCGAUGUCGGAUUAGCUAGUUGGCGGGGUAAAGGCCCACCAAGGCGACGAUCCGUAGCUGGUCUGAGAGGAUGAUCAGCCACACUGGAACUGAGACACGCUCCAGACUCCUACGGGAGGCAGCAGUGGGGAAUAUUGGACAAUGGGCGCAAGCCUGAUCCAGCCAUACCGCGUGGGUGAAGAAGGCCUUCGGGUUGUAAAGCCCUUUUGUUGGGAAAGAAAAGCAGCAGGUUAAUACCCCGCUGUUCUGACGGUACCCAAAGAAUAAGCACCGGCUAACUUCGUG